GACAGAGGGUGCAAACGUUGCUCGGAAUUACUGGGCGUAAAGCGUGUGUAGGCGGCUUUGCAAGUCGGAUGUGAAAGCCCCGGGCUCAACCCGGGAAGUGCACUCGAUACUGCAGAGCUUGAGUAUCGGAGAGGUUGGUGGAAUUCUCGGUGUAGAGGUGAAAUUCGUAGAUAGUCGAGAGGAACACCGGCGGCGAAGGCGGCCAACUGGACGAAUACUGACGCUGAGACACGAAAGCGUGGGGAGCAAACAGG
rnacentral:rRNA from 1 species